CGGGGGGAGCAAGCGUUGUUCGGAUUUACUGGGCGUAAAGGGCGCGUAGGCGGCCAGCGCAAGUCAGUUGUGAAAUCUCCGGGCUUAACUCGGAAAGGUCAACUGAUACUGUGCGGCUAGAGUGCAGAAGGGGCAACUGGAAUUCUCGGUGUAGCGGUGAAAUGCGUAGAUAUCGAGAGGAACACCUGCGGCGAAGGCGGGUUGCUGGGCUGACACUGACGCUGAGGCGCGAAAGCCAGGGGAGCGAACGGGAUUAGAUACCCCGGUAGUCCUGGCCUUAAACGAUGGAUGCUUGGUGUCUGGAGUUUAUAGUCUCCGGGUGCCGUAGCUAACGCGUUAAGCAUCCCGCCUGGGGAUACGGUCGCAAGACUG
rnacentral:rRNA from 1 species